ACAAGCGGAGGAACAUGUGGUUUAAUUCGAUGAUACGCGAGGAACCUUACCCGGGCUUGAAAUGCAUCUGACCGGCCUUGAAAGAGGCACUCCCUUCGGGGCAGAUGUGUAGGUGCUGCAUGGUUGUCGUCAGCUCGUGCCGUGAGGUGUCGGCUUAAGUGCCAUAACGAGCGCAACCCUCAUCAUUAGUUACCAUCAGGUAAGGCUGGGGACUCUAAUGAGACUGCCAUCGUAAGAUGUGAGGAAGGUGGGGAUGACGUCAAAUCAGCACGGCCCUUACGUCCGGGGCGACACACGUGUUACAAUGGGUGGUACAAAGGGCAGCUACCUGGCGACAGGAUGCUAAUCUCGAAAACCGCUCUCAGUUCGGAUCGGAGUCUGCAACUCGACUCCGUGAAGCUGGAUUCGCUAGUAAUCGCGCAUCAGCCACGGCGCGGUGAAUACGUUCCCGGGCCUU
rnacentral:rRNA from 1 species